rnacentral:rRNA from 1 species
GCCUAUGGCCUUACCACUAUGAACACACCUGAUCUCAUCUGAUUUUGUCAGCUAAGCAGGGUCAAACUGGUUAGUAUUUACACACUGCUUGCAUAAUGUGAAUCUAAAAGCAUAGAUU